GGCCAACCGGACCCAAAGUGGGCCCUUGGCCCAACAUAACUAAACCAAAACCCUAGUUUUCAGCACUCUCUCUCCUCACAACACACUCAAACACGCUGAAAUUGAAGAGAGGGGAGGAAGAACACUCUCUCGAGUUCUUUCUCUCACUUGAUCUUCAAACCACCAUAACUUUUGAUCUAGAGCUCCGAUUGCCGCUCCGUUUGCGGCCACGCGUUCACCGCGGAGAGCUCUACAAAACCCAUACAACUAAUCUUGAGGUAAGCCACGUGUUUCUGUUCGAAAUUCCAGCCCUUAUUUUCGAGUUUCAUGGGUAAAAUGUUGAGAUUUUGGGUUCUUUGAUGUUAUAGGACCCAACUCUCUUGAAGGAGAAGGUUAAUGUUGUCUCCUUGGACCUUGGGUGUGGUAAGAUUCUCAACCCUAGUGUGAUUUUGUUGUUCUAUGAUGUUUGGGUUUUGAGAUGUUGUGUAUGGGUAUGAUGGUUGUGGCUUAGGUUGUGUAUAUGUGAAUAUUGG
rnacentral:lncRNA from 1 species